ACCAACUCAUUCUUCGAGGCGCAGCUCCUAUCGUUGCCAUCGACAGAAAAGUACCCAACACUCAUUUAUCAUUUCUGAAACAUUCAUCAUCUCCUUGUGUCUUUUCGUAGUGGAAAUUGGAUCACGUGGGUGAAGGAAGGAAUGAGGUGGCUCAACUCAUUGCUACUAGUGUUACUAAGGAACAUCGAUUCCAAUUGUACGUAGCAACAUGAGGUCCAUGAUGGCUACAAUAGAUUAUCCUCAAGAGUUGAUCUCGAUCGAUCUUGUGACUUGAUUCGGCCACGAAGAUUUCUCAGGGACUUGUUGUACAUCAUCUCUGACCCGUAUAUCAUCUCUACUUACAGAGAGCUUUUAAAAAAUUGGAAAGUUUUCUAAAAAAACUUUUACAUAUUUCCUUAAUAGGAUUUAUAAAAAAAAAACAAAAUGUAUGCAAAUCUAUGAAGAUCAAUCACAAUCAAUAGAAAUCUAUGUAAACUAUUUGUUAAGUUUACUUAACUUUUAAAAGUCCAUCAACUUUUAAAAUCACUAAAUUCCAUACAAAUUCUUGUUUGAAUAAGCCCCCUAAAUUGAUGUUUACACAAACUUACUGGGUAUAACAUAAUAAUUAAAUAAUGGGAAAAUCUAAAGGUAUAUACAUGAUAGACCCGAAGUAAAAUUUUAAUAUUAUAAAAAGUUGUUAGAUCUGUCCAUUAUUAUUCAUUAGUAAUUUAUUGAACGUAAUCAAAGCCACAAACAUAAUUUAACUUUUUAGUUUAACAGUAUAUGAUAAUUUUUUGACCCAAAAAAGUAUAUGAUGAUUUGUUUCAGUGGUGUACAGUAAUAAGUUUAGUUAGUUUUUACUGAAUUUUAUUUUUUAUUUAUAAAUACGAUUAUUUAAAAUUUUGAACAAAUUUAAGACAAUAUUUUCGUUGAAGUACUUAAACGUUUUUAUCUGAAAAUUAUCAUAUGAAAUACACUCUAAGAAUGCUAAAAUUGGCUUAAAUCUAUCUAUAUAAAUAAAAAAAUGUUUACCUCUUUCAUGUGCUGCCACCUAGGAUCCAGGUCAGAAAGUCGAGGACCGUAGUGUCGACACGUGUCCCGGCCACACAAAACGCAGCACUUCAUUUAUUCUCAUAUCUGGUGGGCUUUUAACGCUAAGUUUAUAUAUAUUCAAUGUUUUUUGGGCUGAUAAUUCGUAUGGUUAAGUUUGACCGACGGCCCAUAAACAGAAACCCUAAUUCUAAUUUCGCGAGCAAAUGGACUUCGUCAUCUUCGUUUUACGGCGACUCGACAACGCCUAAGCUUCUUCUGAAUCUCUUUGAGACGGUGUGAGUUAUGAAGCGAUUUCUAGGAUUGCCACUAUUCUUAAGCAAUUGUCGUUUAAAACCGACAAAGAAGCUCCGGCUGGGUUACGGGGAUGAGUAUUUCCUGCCAAUCUAUGGUGGUAGCCGCUGUCUAUGUCGAAUCGCCUGGACCGUUACAAAACUCUACUGCAUUCAGUCAUCGUCAUUAACGAUCUCAUUAAUACAGAUUCCCCACUCCUCUCGUGAUGUUUGCCCUUCUCGCUUCCAUUGUGCAAAUCUACAACUAUAAAUAUGACACAUUUAUUUUAUAUUUUUAAAGUACAAAAGAGUUGCUUAUAUAUAGGUUGUUAAGAAAGAUGAAGAUGUGAAAGUUCUUGAAAUGGUGGGGGGUGAGGAUUGGUUGCCUCCACCGACAAAGGUUAUCUUCACUAAAAUUAUCUCACUAAUAUCAAAAAGUCCGCUGAAGAUUUCAGCCAUUACAUCAUUGAGGUAGUUUUGUAUGUAUAUGCUUCUCAUGUUUUCUUUUAGAAAGGAGGUUGGAUGACAUUAUGUUGCAGUUCUAGAAUAUUGAUGUCAUCUGAAUUAUUAGCAGUGUUCUUGGCCAGAGCAUAGCUUUGAAUUACUAAUUUACUAUGGCCGGCAGGUAGCAAUCACAUAUCAGUUUGUUUCUGUUAGGUUGAUGGUAUGGUAGCAAUUAUCAAAGUUAACUGAACAAACCAUGUGAUGGAGAAAACAGGAACGCUUACAACGGACAUGAAGAAGCUGUUCCAGUUGGAGAUUUUUCACUAAAGCAACUCCAAACGAAGAGUUUCUAAUUUGUUUUUAGUGUGUUUUAUCAUUUUCUUUUCCUAGGUGAAUUUGUAAGCAAGUGUUUCAUAUAUGACUUGCUGCAACCGUAAAAAAUGUGUUUUUACUUUUAUGCGUCAAUCUUUUAAUAAUACAAUAAAAGGGUCAUGUGCUAA